rnacentral:rRNA from 1 species
UACGUAGGGUGCGAGCGUUUGUCCGGAAUCAUUGGGCGUAAAGCGCGUGUAGGCGGCCCGAUAAGUCCGCUGUGAAAGUCCAGGGCUCAACCCUGGAAUGCCGGUGGAUACUGUCGGGCUCGAGUCCGGAAGAGGCGAGUGGAAUUCCUGGUGUAGCGGUGAAAUGCGCAGAUAUCAGGAAGAACACCCGUGGCGAAGCGGCUCUCUGGGACGCAACUGACGCUGAGACGCGAAAGCGUGGGGAGCAAACAGG